CACGUAGGCGGAUAUUUAAGUCAGGGGUGAAAUCCCAGAGCUCAACUCUGGAACUGCCUUUGAUACUGGGUAUCUUGAGUAUGAGAGAGGUGUGUGGAACUCCGAGUGUAGAGGUGAAAUUCGUAGAUAUUCGGAGGAACACCAGUGGCGAAGGCGGCUUACUGGUCCAUUACUGACGCUGAGGUGCGAAAGCGUGGGGAGCAAACA
rnacentral:rRNA from 1 species